rnacentral:rRNA from 1 species
UACGUAGGGGGCAAGCGUUGUCCGGAAUCAUUGGGCGUAAAGCGCGCGUAGGCGGCCCGGUAAGUCCGCUGUAAAAGUCCAGGGCUCAACCCUGGAAAGCCGGUGGAUACUGUCGGGCUAGAGUCCGGAAGAGGCGAGUGGAAUUCCUGGUGUAGCAGUGAAAUGCGUAGAUAUCAGGAGGAAUACCGAUGGCGAAGGCAGGUCUCUGGGCUGACACUGACGCUCAUGCACGAAAGCGUGGGGAGCAAACAGG